AGAGUUUGAUUCUGGCUCAGGAUGAACGCUAGCGGCAGGCCUAACACAUGCAAGUCGAGGGGUAACAGGAGAGCUUGCUCUUGCUGACGACCGGCGCACGGGUGCGUAACGCGUAUACAAUCUGCCUAUUACUAAGAGAUAGCCCAGAGAAAUUUGGAUUAAUAUUUUAUGGUAUUACGAUUUGGCAUCAAGUUGUAAUUAAAGGUUACGGUAAUAGAUGAGUAUGCGUCCUAUUAGCUAGAUGGUAAGGUAACGGCUUACCAUGGCAACGAUAGGUAGGGGUCCUGAGAGGGAGAUCCCCCACACUGGUACUGAGACACGGACCAGACUCCUACGGGAGGCAGCAGUGAGGAAUAUUGGACAAUGGGAGCAAUCCUGAUCCAGCCAUGCCGCGUGCAGGAAGACUGCCCUAUGGGUUGUAAACUGCUUUUAUACAGGAAGAAAAAGGUGUACGUGUACACUGUUGACGGUACUGUAAGAAUAAGGAUCGGCUAACUCCGUGCCAGCAGCCGCGGUAAUACGGAGGAUCCAAGCGUUAUCCGGAAUCAUUGGGUUUAAAGGGUCCGUAGGCGGGAUGAUAAGUCAGUGGUGAAAGUCUGCAGCUCAACUGUAGAAUUGCCAUUGAUACUGUUGUUCUUGAGUUAUUGUGAAGUGGUUAGAAUGAGUAGUGUAGCGGUGAAAUGCAUAGAUAUUACUCAGAAUACCGAUUGCGAAGGCAGAUCACUAACAAUACACUGACGCUGAUGGACGAAAGCGUAGUAGCGAACAGGAUUAGAUACCCUGGUAGUCUACGCCGUAAACGAUGGUUACUAGCUGUUCGGACUAAUUGCGGUCUGAGUGGCUAAGCGAAAGUGAUAAGUAACCCACCUGGGGAGUACGUUCGCAAGAAUGAAACUCAAAGGAAUUGACGG
rnacentral:rRNA from 1 species